AACAAAAACAAGCGCCUGAGUGGCAAGGCUGCCAGCGCCCAGCCCAGCCGAGCAGGCAUAAAGGAGCCCGCGUCGCGGAUGUUUGUGACCUGUCAUUAGAGACAGCUCCCUCAGCUUCCAAACGAUCACAUGGAGACAAUGUGGCAAAUUAUAUUUGUACCAGCAAAGAUCCUUGUCGAGCCGCGAAGGGAAGCCAGCUGCCAUGUCAUCAGCCGCCCUGUGGAGUGGCCCUGCUGGCAAGGAACUGAUGUCUUUAGCCAACAGCCAGCAAGGAUCUGAGGCCCUCAGACCAAAAACCAUCAAAGAACUAAAUGCUGCCAACAACCACGGGAGGGAGCUGAGAAGUGGAUUCUCCACCAGUCCCAGCCUAGAGAUGACUGCAGCCCUGGCUGACACCUUGAUUGCAGCUUUGUGAACCAGAGACACCCAGGUGAGAGAAGAAGUUUAAGUUCUGCUUACAAAUGAGGUAAUUUAUCUUGCCUGGCAGGUGCCUGAAGAUUUUCUUCAAGUUCAAUACUGUACAUAGGGUAAACUUUGAUAUUAACUGAAUUGGAAUGUUCCUGGAACAUGGUUCAAUUUUAUCUGCAGUUUCAGUGAUAUCUUAAAAUUCAGAUAAUUCUCUUAUAUCUUUGAAUAUAUCUUCUAUUUUGUGGUUUUUCAAUUCAGAUACAUCAAUUCUUCUUAUAUUGGAUUAUGUUUAUCUACCACAUAUAUUGUCUCCUAUUUAAUUUUUUUAUUUGCGAUAUUGUCAGUAAUUUAAUAUUCACCAGUUUUUAUUGUUUUAAUUUUAUAUUAGCUCUAUAAUGUUGUAUUUUAUAAGAAAUUCUUUUUAAAAUCUCAUUUUCUUGUUGCCUUACUGAUUUGAUAUUUUUAUUCCAAUUUACUCUAGCAAGAAAUGAGUGUGAUUAAUAUGCUUCUAUUGGCUUAAGUUAAAUUUUUAGGGGCGGGUGUGUUGGCUCACACCUGUAAUCCUAGCACCUUGGGAGGCCGAGGUAGGUGGAUCACCUGAGGUCAGGAGUUCAAGACCAACCUGGCCAACAUGAUGAAACCCCAUCUCUAUUAAAUAUACAAAAAUUAGCCAGGUGUGGUGGUGCGUGCCUGUAAUCCCACCGACUUGGGAGGCUGAGGAAGGAGAAUCGCUUGACCUGGGAGGUAGAGGUUGCAGUGAGCCGAGAUCAUGCCACUGCACUCCAGCCUGCAUGACGGGAGUAAGACUCCACCUCAAAAAAAAAAAAAAAAGUGUUAGCUAGGUUAGGCUUUGUGUCUUCUGCAUACUAUAAUCCCUUUUUUUUUUUAUUUUCUUCUGCUCAGUGGUUUUUUUUUUUUUUGGUCAAAAAGUUAUUUUAUUGUAUUAUUUUAUUUAUUAUUAAUCAAACUUUUUAUUUUGAGAUAAUUUAGAUUCACAUGUGGUUGUAAAAAGUAAUACAGAGAAAUUCUGUGUAUCCUUUGUCAAUUUCCCUCAAUGAUAACAUCUUGUAAAACUGUAAUACGACAUUAAGACUAGCAUAUUGACAUUGAUACAAAUCUUACUCAGAUUUUCUCCAUUUUACUUGGGCUUAUGUGUGUGUCUAUGUCUGUGCAUGUGUGUGUUUGUAUUUAGCACUAUGCAAUUUUUAUUGCCUGUGUAGGCUGGCAUAUUUACCACCAAAGUCAAAAUACAGAAUGGCUUCACCACCAUGAGGAUACAGUAGGUUGUCCUUUGUAACCAUAAUUGACUAUUUUGGACAUUUUAUAUAAAUGGAAUAAUGUAAUAUAUGGUCCUUUGUGACUGGCCUCUUCCAUUUAGCAUAAUGUUCCAGGGUUCAUCUCUAUUGUAGCACUUUCCACUGCUUCAUUCCUUUUUAUUGCUGAAUAACAUUUCACUUUAUUGAUAUACCAUAUUUUGUUUAUUUAUUCAUUAGUUAAUGGACAUUUGAGUUGUUUCCACUUUUUGGCUAUUAUGAGUAAUACUAAUGCGAACAUUCAUGUACAAGUUUUGGUGUGGUCCUAUGUUUUCAUUUCUUUUGGGUUGAUACCUACGAGUAGUGCCGCUGGGUGAUACGGUAACUCUAUGUUUAACUCUUUGAGGAACUGACAGAGUGUGUUCUAAAGUGGCUGCACCACCUCACAUCCUCACUCGCAGUGUAUGAAGCUUCCAAUUUCUCCACAUUAUCUGUUUGUUGUUCUUUUUUGAGACAGGGUCUCAUUCUGUCACUCAGGCUGGAGUGCAGUGGUGCGAUCUCGGCUCACUGUAACUUCUGCCUCCCAGGUUCAAAUGAUUUUCUUACCUCAGCCUCCUGAGCAGCUGGGACUACAGGUACACCCCCACACCUGGCUAAUUUUUGUAUUUUUAGUAGAGACGGGGUUUUAGCAUGUUGGUCAGACUGGUCUUUAAUUCCUGGCCUCAAGUGAUCCUCCUGCCUGGGCCUCACAAAGUGUUGGGAUUACAGGCAUGAGCCGCUGUGCCCAGCCAUCUGUUUUUCUGAAUAGAGACAUCCUAGUGUUUGUGAAGAGGUAGCUGGCAUAGUUGUUGUUGUUGUUUUUAAUGUAGAGUCUUUCUCUGCUAUAUCUCAUGUAGUUUUGAUUUGCAUUUCCCUGGCUAAUGAUGUUGAGGACCUUUUCGUGUGUUCAUUAGCCAUUUUUAUAUCUUCUUUGUCCAAAUGUGUGUUUGAUUUUUUACUCAUUUUAAACUGGGUUACUUCCUUAUUAUUGAGUUGUAAGAGUUCUUUAUAUUGUCUUUCCAUAAGUCCCUU
ensembl:lncRNA novel transcript